GGGACGCGGGAUCCGAAUUUGGAUGAAUCGAACCAUUUCAAUUUCGGGUCCCUUUAUAUUCUUUUUUUCUCACUCUUCUUUCUCACACCAUUAGGGUUUCACCUCAUUCUCUCUGGCAUUCUUCUCUGCUGAACAUCAAGAUCUUCAGAUUAAUUCUUUUUUCUUCUUUAUUCAAUCGAUCAAUCGAUUGAACUGAAAUCAUUCGCUAGGGUUCAAGAAUCUUUAUCUGAUUACCCAAGAAUCUUCAUUGGUCUCUCCCAAUUUCAACAAGUUACCCCUUUUCUCUCUUUCUAGGUUUCUCCAAUCUUCUAUCUCUCUCAUCAUUUCUCCAGAUCAAGAUCAGUUAUUGGUAAAGAUAAGAAAUUAGGGCACUGAUUGAAUACGAUGUCGUCUUCUUCGUACAGCUGGUUAGGUAAAAGAAGGUUUAGCGUCAUAUUAAAGCCAUUAUCAGACACAACUCUUGAAGACUCAUCCACUGGUCUAAUUGAGAGCGUUUACGGAUAAGUCUAUUUGAAAAGAGGAAGAAUAGAAGCAAGAAGUUCAUUUGCAGUAGCAAUUCUGAAGAACUCUUCCGUUUAGUAUGUCCUCAACCUUAUUUGGCACGGACACCAGGUCAUGUACUCAAUCAGCUUGCUUUUUGGAUGAUGUAUGGAUAUAUUCGCGACCAAUAUGUGCUGUUGACAACUAUCAAUAUGGCUAAGAGAUGCAAGACAUAAAGAAUUGAUGGGUGAUGAACUACUGCCACAAUCAUUCUUGAAUUCUUAUUAUUACUUAACUUUUUUACCUUUUUGAAUUGAAUAGUGUCUAAAGGGACAUGUAUGCCUCAUAAUGAAGACAAUGAACAAAAUGUAUAUCGUUUUUAGUGCUAUAAAAGGUCAUUGCUGCAUUACUUUCUUGCUCAAAACAACUGUAUAUUUGUAAACUUGAUGCAAUUAAAAUCUAGGCCAUUGACAUGUUUCAUGGUUUAAUCGUCAUUAUAUAGGUGGGAUAAUGGGUGGGUUUGUUAAAAGGCGUUGCCCUUUACCCAACCCAUAAUCCAUUUUUAACCUAUUUUCUUCUCUUUCUCUUCUUAGAUCCUCAAACCCUAAUGUAUCACCAUCUCUAUUUACGACACCAUCCCAAGCUUCUCUACCGAGCCAUGCCAGGUAUAUUCCAUUUCUAAAUCUGUUUACAAAUUAGAAAUUUGUUAACUAAGAAUGAUUAUUAAUAUUUUCAUACCAAUUUUUUCUACAUAUAUUGAAUUAUAUCUUCGAUUCCUCUUCGUCUCCUUCACCGUAUCUGAUUGUUUCACUCUUCUUUCUUCUGCCCAGAGCAUAUAUUAUGGAGCACCAGAAACAUAACCAUGUUGAGAGCUGUUGAUGCCUUUCAAGAAAACUUCACAGUCAAGGUUCGGGUUAUCAGGAUUUGGGACCAUCCUGAUAAGAGAAAUCCUAAAGAUAUCUACUCUAUGGACAUGAUUUUGAUUGAUGAAGAGAUGGAAGCUGUCUGUUUCAAGCGAUUUUUGGCACAGUUUCAGGCAUCAUUGGUAGAGAAACAAUGUUUGAUUGUGACAAAUCCAACAAUAGGGUUCAAUAACUCAACCUACAAGUAUGUUCAAAAUCAAAACAAAAUUUGUUUCCAAAGUACUACCCAAGUUACUGAAUGUCAAGAUUUUGGUGGAUCUCCAUAUGGGUUUGAUUUCGCAAAUUUUGGUGACAUAUUAAACCAUGCUAUCAAUGAAAGUGUUACAGUUGACGUCAUUGGUUAUUUAACCCGAUCAUUUCCAAAAGAGGUCAUUCGUAACAAGUUCGCCGGGAAGGAAUCUGUAAAAGUUACCAUUGAAAUAUCAUAUCUGGAGAACUGGAAAGUAUAUGUUACCCUAUGAGACCAAUAUUGUGAUGAAAUCAUAGCUUUUUUGGAAAGUAUCAAAGGGAAGAAUGUUCAUGCUAUCAUAAUUUUGCAGUUUAGAAAAAUCAAGUGGUGGAACGGUAUUUAAAUUUUUAUUUGUUUGGUGUAAAUUUAAUUUAUUAUAGCACGUUAAUAUGAAGUCUUCUAUCAUUUUUAUGUAUUUUACUUGCCAUUUUAUCUUA